UGCCAAACUCUCCAUCGCAUCCUCAAUCCUAUUGCUAUUAGUUCAUGAAGCACAUCGUAACAGAAAUAUUAAGUGAUAGCCGAAUACCAAUUACAUGCAACCCAAAAUUUUGGACAAUAAUCACAAUUCCCACAUAACAGAACCAGCUUGAAAACUUCAAUGAUUUAAAAUUUUUCAGUCCCUUCUUCUUGAACAUGUCAAGUUAAGAAUUCAAAAAAAUUGAAAAACCUGAAAUCUGUAACUGAAAAACGAAUAUAUAAUUAAAA
rnacentral:misc_RNA from 1 species